rnacentral:rRNA from 1 species
AACGAACGCUGGCGGCAUGCCUAACACAUGCAAGUCGAACGAGACCUUCGGGCUUAGUGGCGCACGGGUGCGUAACGCGGGGGAACCUGCCCUUAGGUUCGGAAUAACUCCCGGGAAGGGGUGCUAAUACCGGAUAAUGUCUUCGGUCCAAAGAUUUAUCGCCUUUGGAUGGGCUCGCGAUGGAUUAGUUAGUUGGUAGGGUAAAAGCCUACCAAGGCUACGAUCCAUAGCUGGUCUGAGAGGAUGAUCCGCCACACUGGGACUGAGACACGGCCCAGACUCCUACGGGAGGCAGCAGUGGGGAAUAUUGGACAGUGGGCGGAAGCCUGAUCCAGCAAUGCCGCGUGAGUGAUGAAGGCCUUAGGGUUGUAAAGCUCUUUUACCCGGGAUGAUAAUGACAUUACCGGGAGAAUAAGCUCCGGCUAACUCCGUG